rnacentral:lncRNA from 10 species
AGGUCAUGUUCAUUACAUAGAGUACCCCUUUGCCUAGCCUCGUAUCUUUCUGAUUUCAUCUCCUUACGCCAUCUGAUUUUUUCUCUCUAGUGCAACCAUGCUGACCUCUUUGUUCCUUAAUCAAACAAGCCCACUCCAGCCUAAGGGCACUUUUGUUAGCAGCUUAACUCUGCCUGGGAGGCUUUCCUCCAUUUGUUGUUGCUGUUGUAGGAUUUCCUUCUGUUUCCCAGGCUGGAGUGCCGUGCUGCAAUCUCAGCUCACUGCAACCUCUGACUUUAUCAGAAACCUGCAUCAAUUAAUGAAACAAAGGUGUGAUUAUUUUAUUUAGGGUUAAGGUUUAAUAUAAAAAAGUUCAACAGUUAAAAAUAUAACAAUGAUGAAACAAAUUAAGAAAUUUAAAAAUAUAUAAAUGAAAUUACUUGAUAAUAAUAUUUAAAAUGUAGGGUAAUGAUUUUUUAAGAAAAGAAAUAAUAAAUAUGCAUAUAAAUAUACAGAAUGCCUUGUCAGAUAAUCAUCUUUUGGAAGUAGAAAAUUGUAAGGAAGAAAUAACACUAUAUAGUCAAACUUUUAUUUAGCCUUACAUGCUGUACAACUUUAAUUUGAUUCAAGAUAUGUACUUCAAUCCAAAUAGAGAAUGCUUCCUACUAGAAAGCAGGAUCAACACCUAGGAGGUACAUUUUAAAAACCAACUUUAUGGUGAAGUCUUAAAAUAUAUACGUAUUUGUCUGUCUUAUAUUUCUAGUUAAUAUUUGGAUUAAAAGUUAAGAAAACAAAAUUAUCAAGCACAUAUGUGAAAUAUUUCAUAUUUCUGUAACAACAUAGAAAGAUUACUUUUUCCCCCCAAUGUUCUAAAAACAGAGGAGAUAGGUAAAAGAAGACUACGUCAACUCCUGCUCAUUAAUAGGAAGUCAGGGUUUAAUGGAAAGUCCUUGCUUAGGGUUAACUGACUUAAACCAAACACAUAUACAUUUUACUUC